ACACAUUUUUAACAAGAAAUCCCAAAAAAACAUAAAUAAUUAAAUACAAUUAAUAUUUUUGUCAAUUUUCAUUUGACAAAAGCAAUAAUAUCACAGACUAACCUAACAAACGUGUUUUUAGCCACAGAUGCAUGACAGUAAACCUAGAAUAACCACAGAUAAUGAAAUAGUGUUAGAUAAUUACUUGAAAAAUUCAAAAUUUGGGCACCCCGACUCCAAGCAGUCUUGUCUGCCCUACCCCUAGAGUGUUUUUGUAAAGCGCGAAGCCAGAAGCUCGCGAAGAAGGGGCCUAAUUGUCUAACGGAGUUCAUUGAUCGUAAAGUUCAUACGAUCGGCUACGAUCAACGAUCAAUCGUAACUUUACAUUGGUAUUGUCUAAUUUAGUUCAUUAUAUGAAGACCGGAUGGUGAACAUGAACUUAAAUCAUUCAUGAAGAUUGCGUAUUGUUUAUGCAAAACGAUAGUGAAACUAUCGUUAAUAAUAUUAUCAAAUUUAAGUCAAACUCCAUAAUAAUGCAUAUAUUUUAACAAAGUUUUAUGUCUUUUGUUUAAAACAUUAAAGAAGCAUUAAAUUUCACGAAAAAUAUCUACUAUUGAAGAAAAUAGCGUGAGAAAAUGGUACAUGCAACUCAAGUAACAAAACGCAAUUAACGAAUUUAACCAAGGGCUAUUUGGACUAUUUGGUAAUCUCCCUGUUGUCUGUGUAGCAGGGUUCCCAACUUAGGGGUUUUCCCCCCAGAUUUAGGGGGCAAAUAAGUGAAAUGGGAUUUUUUUAGGGGUCUGAAAUUUUUAGGGUUAUUUUCAGGGAUUUUUCGACUCUUUAAUAUUUUUAAAUUGAUGAUAAAUUUAAUAUUUCUUUCUUGACCUAGCGACUUAUAACGACAUAUAAUACGUCAUUUUACAACCACUCUGAAGCAACUGGCGGCAAUUUUCAUCAAAUAAAAAAAAAUGUUAAAUUUGUUCAUUGUCAACAUGUAUGAUUUCAAAAAAUCUGAAUCUUCAGAUAAAGACGUAAUAUUUUGUCUGUAUUAAAUAUAGACUUAAAACAUAUUACAGCAUAUUAUUUCUAAAUUAUUAUGAAUUUAUAUUUUUUAGGGGGACAACUCAAUAAUUAAGGCGAUUUUAGGGGUUUUUGACACAAACUUUAGGGAUAAAUAUUUUGGAGAGUUGGUAACACUGCUGUGUAGGCUAGUGUCAAAAUAACGGGGUAUCCUAUUAGUCUGUGGUGAAACAUAGCGUAUUAGUAACCUGUGGAUUAGAAAUUUUAAUUUAACAAAACAAAACAAAAUUUUCAUUUUUCAGGUUUUAAAGAGAAUUUAGAAAUUGAGCAAAGUUUUACUAAAUUAUAGUGAUCUUAGGAGCAAAGUUUACUUCGUUUGUGUUAUUGUUAAUCAAAAAUAUAAAAGUAAACAAAAAAGAAAACUACCUCUAUCUAAUUUUGUCGAUGUCCAUUUCUUAAGAAGUUUCUCAUUAAAACAACCCUUAACUCAGGCAAGGCAGGGCUAAGGUGGUUAGCGUAACUACAAGUGGUUAACUUACAGUUAGCCAACUGAAGAACAAUCAACAAUGCCCGAUUAAUAAGUGAUCGCGCUGCUUGUCUACUACAUGUCCCUGCACUAGUUAUAGCAGUAAUUUCUUUGUUGGGAAGUAUUUAGCACAUCCGGGCUGCGCAAAAGGAGAGGACUAAAUUGAUUAUUAUGAACAGACCAUUAUGAUGAACCACUGAUAUUGACUCAGAGACAUGAAGAUGAGUGCUUUGACAACAAGACUGACUAGCUGAGCCAGCUUAAGAAUUAUGUGGUGUGUCUAAUUCCAGGAGCUCUAUGUCAGCCAUCCAUCUAUAUUCUUACUCAUUUUUGUUAAUUAUAAAAUAAAUUUGAUUAUUUAGUGUGUAACUUCAUUGUACCUAUCCUGCUAGCUGUUAGAAAGAUAGCAUCUGUAAUAAUUUGAUCAUGACGGUAAAACAUAUUUAAAAAUAAACAUGCUUUAACAUUUAAGUAUGGCCAAUAUGUUGUCAAGUACAGUGGGCAGGGCUGAAUCCAUGAUUGAUGACUGAUCCAUGAUGAUGACUCGUUUUUCUGAUUUAAGAAAAUAUACUAAUCAUCAAAACAGUGUCUGCAAGUACUGUACAGGCCGACUGUUUGGAUGAGAAGUAUAUAUUUGAUUAUUUUUAAGCUUUGUGGUUUCAGGGUUUAAAAAUGUCUAACUGAAAGUCUAUGUUUACUGUAUUUAUUAUUAUUAUUAUAAUAAAUAAACUUAAAAAAAUCUUUUUUUUAUAAACUUCCAACCCCUAUUUCACCCUCAGAGGCGUCAUUUUCAUAAUUCUUAGAAUACUAGUAGUCAAGAUACUGUAAUAAAAAGAUACAGUUUGUGAGAUUGUAGGGGUAAACACUGGACCUACUGAACCAAUGUUGAAGAUUAUUUUACCAAUAAAAAUCCACAUUUGAGUAUUAUAGGCCAUGUAUUCCUUCCCACGGGAACAGGAAUUAUGUGGGUGAAACUGCAGGGGGGUGAACAUACACAGGUAUUAUAAAUGUAUUUUUUACAACUACACUUUUUUGAAUAAUUUAUUUAAUUAUUGUAAUGGUAAAAAAAAAUAUUAAUAGUAAAAUGUUAAACUGAAAGCUUUAGUUUUGGAAAAGACUACAAAAAACAAACUCAGCGAAGUAAGUAUUCUUUUAUUUUCAAAUAUCAAA